CUUUGUCGCACCGAAGACGCUGCUGCCCGUCUUCGGCCUGUUGUUUGAAAGUCAGCAGUUAGAUGGCUAUCCCGUUAUCGGUCGACUUUUUAAGUUCCAAGGUGGUAGUGGAACUAUGUUAUAAUGUUAUUUAUACCUUAGU